GGCUCCCCAGCCUGGGGUGUCUGGCACCAGGAAGAGGAGCCCCCAGAGCACUGGGCUUUGAAGACCAGUGGGGCGGAAUUGCAGGAACCCCACAGGACUGAGGGGAAACUGAGACUCCACUCUUGGAACCUGCACCAGGUCUCACUUGCACCGGGACCCUGGGCAAAAGCAGUCAUUUUAUAGGAGCCUAGGCCAGACCUACCUGCUGCUCUUGGAGGGUCUCCUGGGGAAGGGGUGCAGCUGUGGCAAGCUGGGGACAGCCAUAUUUAGGAGCCCCUUGGACCACUGGAAGCCAGGUGCAGUGGGCGGGGCUGCAGUGUGGGCUCCUCCCCCUCGCUGACCGUUAGACCUGGCCCCGCCCACCACCUGUAGUCCACAGUGCUCAGAUACCUCAGGCCAAACAAGUACCUGGGGGGGCGACAGGGCCCCCCCUGCUAGCAGACAGGCUGCCUGAAGACUAGCGAGCCCACACCUGCGUCUGGACACAGACCCAGACAGAGCCCAGCACCCCGGACAGCCAUAUAUCUACAGAUGUGACCCUGAGAGGUGGGAACUUCACGAGAGUGUUUCCUACGGAUGAGCUGAGUACAGCCUGGAUCUCAGGGACUCAGGGGUGCAAGCUAUAAAGAGAAGAGUGCUGGGCCAAGGAAGAGAGACCAAGAUCCAUUCACCUUGAGCAGAUCACUUUUCUUUCCUGUGCAUUAGUGUCCCUAUCUAUAAAAUGAAGGUGGUUUUCAGAUAUCUUCAAGCCCCACUGUGCUUCAUGACUACAUUUUUAGGCGCCAUCCUGGAUGUGUUGCUGUCCAUGGUGCUGAAGCCUCAUUGGGCCAAAGAGUCAAUUAAGUUUUGGUGCCUGGAAGCAAAGGGUGGGGCUGGAUGACCCAUGAGCUCUUCCUCCCCAGAAGGACUCUUGGACUAAGCCACAGGAAGAUCCUAAAUUAGAGGAGAGAGCUGUUGGGGAGUGAAGAAAGAAGACUUAACCUGCCAAAGCCUCAAUAAGGCUAGAAAAACAAGACUCUUGCCAGAAAAGGUUUUUCUGUCCUGAGGGAAUUGCAUAACAGCAGG
rnacentral:lncRNA from 1 species